rnacentral:rRNA from 1 species
GUCGAGCGGAUGAAAGUAGCUUGCUACUGGAUUCAGCGGCGGACGGGUGAGUAAUGCUUAUGAAUCUGCCUAUUAGUGGGGGACAAGCGUUCCGAAAGGGGCGCUAAUACCGCAUACGUCCUACGGGAGAAAGCAGGGGACCUUUGGGCCUUGCGCUAAUAGAUGAGCCUAAGUCGGAUUAGCUAGUUGGUAGGGUAAAGGCCUACCAAGGCGACGAUCUGUAGCGGGUCUGAGAGGAUGAUCCGCCACACUGGGACUGAGACACAGACCAGACUCCUACGGGAGGCAGCAGUGGGGAAUAUUGGACAAUGGGGGGAACCCUGAUCCAGCCAUGCCGCGUGUGUGAAGAAGGCCUUUGGGUUGUAAAGCACUUUAAGCGAGGAGGAGGCUACCUAGAUUAAUACUUUAGGAUAGUGGACGUUACUCGCAGAAUAAGCACCGGCUAACUCUGUGCCAGCAGCCGCGGUAAUACAGAGGGUGCGAGCGUUAAUCGGAUUUACUGGGCGUAAAGCGUGCGUAGGCGGCCAAUUAAGUCAAAUGUGAAAUCCCCGAGCUUAACUUGGGAAUUGCAUUCGAUACUGGUUGGCUAGAGUAUGGGAGAGGAUGGUAGAAUUCCAGGUGUAGCGGUGAAAUGAGUAGAGAUCUGGAGGAAUACCGAUGGCGAAGGCAGCCAUCUGGCCUAAUACUGACGCUGAGGUACGAAAGCAUGGGGAGCAACAGGA